rnacentral:rRNA from 1 species
AUUGAACGCUGGCGGCAGGCCUAACACAUGCAAGUCGAGCGGAUGAAUGGAGCUUGCUCCUGGAUUCAGCGGCGGACGGGUGAGUAAUGCCUAGGAAUCUGCCUGGUAGCGGGGGAUAACGUCCGGAAACGGGCGCUAAUACUGCAUACGUCCUGAGGGAGAAAGUGGGGGAUCUUCGGACCUCACGCCUUCAGAUGAGCCUAGGUCGGAUUAGCUAGUUGGUGGGGUAAAGGCCUACCAAGGCGAAGAUCCGUAACUGGUCUGAGAGGAUGACCAGUCAGACGGGAAGUGAGAAACGGUCCAGACUCCUACGGUAGGAAGCAGUGGAGAAUAUUGGGCGAGGGGGGAAAGCCUGAUCCAGCCCAGCCGCGUGUGUGAAGAAGGUCUUCGGAUGGGAAAACACUGAAAGUUGGGAGGAAGGAAAGUAAUUUAAUACCUUGCUGUUUUGACGUUACCCGCAGAAGAAGCACCGGCUAACUUCGUG